GGUUGUGGCUCAGUGAUAGAGUGCUCACCUAACGUGCAUGAGGUACUGGGUUCGAGCCUCAGCACCA
rnacentral:tRNA from 1 species